rnacentral:hammerhead_ribozyme from 1 species
GCACUGCUGAGGAGUCCCAUAAUAGGACGAAACAGUCAUUCAGUGC